rnacentral:rRNA from 1 species
UACGUAGGGGGCAAGCGUUGUCCGGAUUUAUUGGGCGUAAAGAGCGUGUAGGCGGUUCGGUAAGUCUGUCGUGAAAUCCCGAGGCUCAACCUCGGGCCUGCAGUGGGUACGGGCAGACUGGAGUGCGGUAGGGGAGAAUGGAAUUCCCGGUGUAGCGGUGGAAUGCGCAGAUAUCGGGAGGAACACCAAUUGCGAAGGCAGCUCGCUGGGACGUUACUGACGCUGAGACGGCGAAAGCGUGGGGAGCAAACAGGG